UUGGAUUUGUGGUGUGUCCAGUCGGCCUUUGCUCUUUGAGUGAUUGUGCUGUACUGGUCUGCCAUGUUUGGGUGGAAUCUGUGUGGCAUUAAGUUGUCGUGCAGGGGAUGCCCAUCGUUUACUGUGAAAAAAUUAGAGUGUUCAAAGCAGGCUUAUGCCGUUGAAUAUAUUAGCAUGGAAUAAUGAUAUAGGACCUUGGUACUAUUUUGUUGGUUUGCGCACUAAGGUAAUGAUUAAGAGGGACAGUUGGGGGUAUUUGUAUUCCAUUGUCGGAGGUGAAAUUCUUGGAUUUUUGGAAGACAAACUACUGCGAAAGCAUUUACCAAGGAUGUUUUCAUUAAUCAAGAACGAAAGUUAGGGGAUCGAAGAUGAUUAGAUACCAUCGUAGUCUUAACCAUAAACUAUGCCGACAAGGGAUUGGCGG
rnacentral:rRNA from 1 species